AGAGAGAGACAUGCGCGCAUAUCAAUAAGCGGAGGAAAAGAAACUAACAGGAUUCCCUUAGUAACGGCGAGUGCAGCGGGAAGAGCUCAAAUUUGAAAUCUUCAAGGUAUUACCUUGACGAAUUGUAGUUUAAAGAAGUGUUUUCUGUUGAAGUUUUGGUAAAAGUUCUUUGGAAUAGGACAUCAUAGAGGGUGAGAAUCCCGUAUUUGACCAUUAUUUUCAGCUUUGUGAUACACUUUCAAAGAGUCGGAUUGUUUGGGAAUGCAGUCCAAAUGGGUGGUAAAUUUCAUCUAAAGCUAAAUAUUGGCGAGAGACCGAUAGCGAACAAGUACCGUGAGGGAAAGAUGAAAAGAACUUUGAAAAGAGAGUUAAACAGUACGUGGAAUUGUCAAAAGGGAAGCGUUUGACACCAGUGUUGUUUUCUCGAAAAUCAAUUAAAAAUGGCUCGAGUUUUGUAUUGCUGAGACCUUAAAAGCUCACUGUACAUUUUUCGUGUCUUUUUUAAUGCACUUUUCGUUUAACAAGUCAACAUCAGUUUCUUUUGUUGUAAAAGGGUCAUUGGAAGGUGGCUUUCUUUUCGGAGAAAGUGUUUAUAGCCUUUGGCCUCUGCAAUCGGAAGAGACUGAGGUCUGCAGCGUAGACUCUUCGGGGUUAGAUACAUUUGUGCUAAGUUAUAGCUUUUUAUAGACAACUUGUUGACUAUAAUUAGUCUUGUAGCUUACUCGCUUAUGCUAUUUUACCUACGCUUAGGAUGUUGAGUCGUAGAGCACGCAG
rnacentral:rRNA from 1 species